rnacentral:rRNA from 1 species
UACAGAGGGGGCAAGCGUUGUUCGGAAUUACUGGGCGUAAAGGCGCGUAGGCGGCCUGCUAAGUCGAACGUGAAAUCCCCGGGCUUAACCCGGGAACUGCGUCCGAUACUGGUUGGCUUGAAUUCGGGAGAGGGAUGCGGAAUUCCAGGUGUAGCGGUGAAAUGCGUAGAUAUCGGGAGGAAUACCGAUGGCGAAGGCAGGUCUCUGGGCUGACACUGACGCUCAUGCACGAAAGCGUGGGGAGCAACAGG